AAAGAAUUAAUUUAAUAAAAUAUUAAUAUGUCAUAUUAAAAUUAUUAGAAAUGAAUCUAAUAUUCUUUA
rnacentral:tRNA from 1 species